rnacentral:rRNA from 1 species
AUUGAACGCUGGCGGCAGGCCUAACACAUGCAAGUCGAACGGUAACAGGAAGACGCUUGCUUCUUUGCUGACGAGUGGCGGGCGGGUGAGUAAUGUCUGGGAAACUGCCUGAUGGAGGGGGAUAACUACUGGAAACGGUUGCUAAUACCGCAUAACGUCGCAAGCCCAAAGAGGGGGGCCUUCGGGCCUCUUGCCAUCGGAUAGGCCCAGAUGGGUUUGGCUAGUAGGUGGGGUACAGGCUAACCUAGGCGACGAGCCCUAGCUGGUCUGCGAGGAAGAACAGGCACACUGGAACUGAGACACGGUCCAGACUCCUACGGGAGGCAACAGUGGGGAAUAUUGCACAAUGGGCGCAAGCCUGAUGCAGCCAUGCCGCGUGUAUGAAGAAGGCCUUCGGGUUGUAAAGUACUUUCAGCCGGGAGGAAGGGAAGAAAGUUAAUACCUUUCCUCAUUGACGUUACCAGCAGAAGAAGCACCGGCUAACUCCGUG